rnacentral:misc_RNA from 1 species
CGACCCUCAAGCACAGCUUGGUGUUGGGCUCGGUCCCGCUAGGACCCGCCCGCAACUCGUAGGACGGCCGCCGCCCGCGCCCCCAGCGUAGCAAGCUCACGCGUUCGCUCGGGGACGGCGCGUCUGGCCCGCCAGACAAAACCCUUUCCUAGGU